rnacentral:rRNA from 1 species
UACGUAGGGUCCGAGCGUUGUCCGGAAUUACUGGGCGUAAAGAGCUCGUAGGUGGUUUGUCGCGUUGUUCGUGAAAACUCACAGCUCAACUGUGGGCGUGCGGGCGAUACGGGCAGACUUGAGUACUGCAGGGGAGACUGGAAUUCCUGGUGUAGCGGUGGAAUGCGCAGAUAUCAGGAAGAACACCGGUGGCGAAGGCGGCUCGCUGGGCCAGUUCUGACACUCAUCCGCGAAAGCGUGGGGAGCAAACAGG